CCGUUGAAACAACGAUUGAGUUACCCACGUGUUUCUUCAAAAGACUCACAUGGAAAACUGGGUGUAGCCGAGAGUUCGCAGGGCAAGGGAAGUCUGUCUGUACGGUUGUAAUUUCAGGCCUGAUAGAUCAGUUUCGUUCAUGUUUGUAUUCUUCUUUGUCAUGCCCACUGCUUGCCAGAACCCUUCUCUCGAUACCAAAUUGUUGUGGUCUGAGAAAUUUAGGGAAGAA